rnacentral:tRNA from 1 species
GCCCUGAUGGCGGAAUUGGUAGACGCGUUAGUUUCAGGGACUAGUGUGAGCGAUCACGUGCAGGUUCGAGUCCUGUUCCGGGCA